rnacentral:rRNA from 1 species
UAGUCAUAUGCUUGUCCCAAAGAUUAAGCCAUGCAUGUCCAAGUAUAUACCUAUAUACGGUGAAACUGCGAAAGGCUCACUAAAUCGGUGAUAAUUUAGGUGGAGGAGAAAGUUACAUGGAUAACCGUGGUAAUUCUAUGGCUAAUACAUGCUGUGGUUUGUCUUGAAAGGGAUGAACUAGUAUUUAUUAGAUAAAACCGAGAUUGGCGAUUUAUCGUCGAUGUAUGGAGGAAUCAUAAUAACUGAUAAUGAUCGUAGGGCCUUGGGCUGACGACACUCCACACAAAUUUCUGCCCCAUCAACUUUUGAUGGUAGGAUAGGGGCCUACCAUGGUGGUAACGGGUAACGGGGAAUUGGGGUUUGAUUCCGGAGAGGGAGCCUGAGAAAUGGCUACCACUUCCAAGGAAGGCAGCAGGCGCGCAAAUUACCCAAUCCCGAAACGGGGAGGUAGUGACAGUACAUAACAAAGAUGGUCUCUUAGAGAUUAUCUAUUGGAAUGAGAGGAAGAUAAAGAGAUUUUCGAGUAACGAUU